UACGUAGGGUGCAAGCGUUGUCCGGAAUUAUUGGGCGUAAAGAGCUCGUAGGCGGUCUGUCGCGUCUGCUGUGAAAACCCGAGGCUCAACCUCGGGCCUGCAGUGGGUACGGGCAGACUAGAGUGCGGUAGGGGGAGAUUGGAAUUCCUGGUGUAGCGGUGGAAUGCGCAGAUAUCAGGAGGAACACCAAUGGCGAAGGCAGAUCUCUGGGCCGUAACUGACGCUGAGGAGCGAAAGCAUGGGGAGCGAACAGG
rnacentral:rRNA from 1 species